rnacentral:ncRNA from 1 species
CUUAUUAAGAGUGGUGGAGGGAUCGGCCCUAUGAAGCCCGGCAACCUGCGUUUGCAAGGUGCCAAAUCCGGCGGUGCAAAUCGAAAGAUAAGG